rnacentral:rRNA from 1 species
CCUACGGGAGGCAGCAGUGGGGAAUAUUGGACAAUGGGGGGAACCCUGAUCCAGCCAUGCCGCGUGUGUGAAGAAGGCCCUCGGGUUGUAAAGCACUUUCAGUGAGGAAGAACGCCUGGUGGUUAAUACCCAUCAGGAAAGACAUCACUCACAGAAGAAGCACCGGCUAACUCCGUGCCAGCAGCCGCGGUAAUACGGAGGGUGCGAGCGUUAAUCGGAAUUACUGGGCGUAAAGCGCGCGUAGGUGGCUUGAUAAGCCGGUUGUGAAAGCCCCGGGCUCAACCUGGGAACGGCAUCCGGAACUGUCAAGCUAGAGUGCAGGAGGGGAAGGUAGAAUUCCCGGUGUAGCGGUGAAAUGCGUAGAGAUCGGGAGGAAUACCAGUGGCGAAGGCGGCCUUCUGGACUGACACUGACACUGAGGUGCGAAAGCGUGGGUAGCAAACAGGAUUAGAUACCCCAGUAGUC